rnacentral:tRNA from 1 species
GGCCAGUUAGCUCAGUCAGUUGAGCGUGGUGCUGAUAACACUACGGUCAUGGGUUUGACUCCCGUUCAGUCCC